UACAGAGGGGGCAAGCGUUGUUCGGAAUUACUGGGCGUAAAGGGCGCGUAGGCGGCCCGCUAAGUCGAACGUGAAAUCCCCGAGCUCAACUCGGGAACUGCGUCCGAUACUGGCGGGCUUGAAUGCGGGAGAGGGAUGCGGAAUUCCAGGUGUAGCGGUGAAAUGCGUAGAUAUCUGGAGGAAUACCGGUGGCGAAGGCGGCAUCCUGGACCGACAUUGACGCUGAGGAGCGAAAGCUAGGGGAGCAAACGGG
rnacentral:rRNA from 1 species